UACGUAGGGGGCGAGCGUUGUCCGAAUUUACUGGGCGUAAAGAGCGCGUAGGCGGGUUCUUAAGUGAGAGGUGAAAGGUUCAGGGCUCAACCCGAACAGUGCCUUUCAUACUGGGAGCCUUGAGUGUGGGAGAGGCGAGUGGAAUUUCCGGUGUAGCGGUGAAAUGCGUAGAUAUCGGAAGGAACACCUGUGGCGAAAGCGGCUCACUGGACCAUUACUGACGCUGAUGCACGAAGGCUAGGGGAGCGAACGGG
rnacentral:rRNA from 1 species